UAUAUUAUUAACUUUAAAAAUCUCUCAAAAUCUCAAUAUUAUAUCAAGUGACAUAAAACUAAUACUCAAAAAUCUCUUCUUAAGUUUACUUUUAAAUUCCACUCUUUGAUUUACAAAAGUACUUUAGAAUCGCCAUAAGGAUAUAAUUUUAUAUCUUAGGAUCUGGUUUCGGCUUUGGUUGACAACCUAUCUUCUUUAGGUAUCAAUUUUUAGUAAUUUGAAAUAUUUUUUACUUUAUUCUAUAGUUAAUAUUUUUUUAAAUAUGCUUAUAUUAAUUUCUUAUUUUAUUUACUUUGAUUUGGAUUAUUUCUAUUUUAAUAAAAAUAAAUAUAAGUUUCUUUUAAAAAAAUAUUAUUAAGAUUAAAAAUUUUAUUACCUUUUUACUAAAUUCUUCUAUAAUAAUAUUCAUAUUUUUAUUUUUUACUCUGUAGUCAUAUUACCACAUGACCUCCAUCCUCUCAAAACUUGUGCAUCUUUUGGUAUAUACCAAAUAAUUCAAAUCUUAUUUGCUUCAUAUUAUGUUCUCUAUGUCUUCAUUUAAAUCAUCUUCAUUAUUUUUGCUAUUCAAGUUAAAAUCAUUUUAUUUUCUUGAAAUAUUUUAUUUUUUCUAUAAGGCUUGAUAAAUCUUCACAAGCUAAGAUUAAAUAUCUCAUUUUUCAUAAUCUACUUGUGAUUAUAAUGAAAUCAACAAUCCAUUUAAAAUAAAUAGCUAAAGAAUAUUCUUGGUAUAAACCAUCUUCAUGACAUAUAUUAGAAUAUGUUUGAUAAGUUUCA
rnacentral:lncRNA from 1 species